GAGUUUGAUCGUGGCUCAGAUUGAACGCUGGCGGCAGGCCUAACACAUGCAAGUCGAGCGGAUGAAGGGAGCUUGCUCCUGGAUUCAGCGGCGGACGGGUGAGUAAUGCCUAGGAAUCUGCCUGGUAGUGGGGAUAACGUCCGGAAACGGGCGCUAAUACCGCAUACGUCCUGAGGGAGAAAGUGGGGGAUCUUCGGACCUCACGCUAUCAGAUGAGCCUAGGUCGGAUUAGCUAGUUGGUGGGGUAAAGGCCUACCAAGGCGACGAUCCGUAACUGGUCUGAGAGGAUGAUCAGUCACACUGGAACUGAGACACGGUCCAGACUCCUACGGGAGGCAGCAGUGGGGAAUAUUGGACAAUGGGCGAAAGCCUGAUCCAGCCAUGCCGCGUGUGUGAAGAAGGUCUUCGGAUUGUAAAGCACUUUAAGUUGGGAGGAAGGGCAGUAAGUUAAUACCUUGCUGUUUUGACGUUACCAACAGAAUAAGCACCGGCUAACUUCGUGCCAG
rnacentral:rRNA from 1 species